ACUCGUCGCGUAACGCAGAUGUUCUUUAACUUGGCAUUCAUGACAAUACGCAUAUCGGGUGUCAAGUGUUUCCAAAACUCAGUUGGCUGCAUAAUUAUGGCUGCUUACAGAGCGAGAAUAAAAGAAUUCGAUGACCUAUUAAAUUCCGAAGAAAUAGAUCUGAAAACAUUAAGGAAGCUCUGUUUUAAUGGAGUUCCAGAUGAACAGGGCAGAAGGGCGUUAUGCUGGAAGCUUCUGCUCAAUUACUUACCACCAACUCAUUGUACAUGGAGUGAAACCUUAAGUAGGAAGAGAGAAUUGUACAGACAAUUUAUUGAGGAAAUGAUUGUGAUGCCAGGAGUUGCAGAUGAUGAUGACUCAUGUCGAACUGAUGUUACAUUGACAGAUCAUCCUCUGAAUUUAAAUCCUGACAGCAAGUGGCAAACUUUUUUCAAGGAUAAUGAAGUUCUCUUGCAAAUAGACAAAGAUGUUAGGAGGCUAUGUCCUGAUAUAUCAUUUUUCCAACAAGCCACUGAUUUUCCAUGUCAGCAAGUAGUUCAUAGUAAAGGCGUAAAACGCCUUCAUAGAAGAGUUCAACAUACAGUGUUAAAAUCUGCAAAUGUUGAGAGGAAAGGCCUUGGAAUUACAAAGAUAGCACUCUCCAUUAAAAAAGCACCAGAAGAUUAUGCACCAAUGGCAGAAGGCAUGGAAGCUCACUGGGAAGUAGUGGAGCGUAUACUGUUUUUAUAUGCUAAGUUGAAUCCUGGGCAAGGUUAUGUUCAAGGAAUGAAUGAAAUCAUUGGCCCUAUUUACUAUGCAUUUGCUUCCAACCCAGAUGCUGAAUGGAGAGAAUUUGCAGAAGCUGACUGCUUUUUCUGCUUCACAAAUUUAAUGGGAGAAAUAAGAGACUUCUUCAUUAAAUCCCUUGAUGAAGCAGAAUGUGGUAUAAGUGGUAUGAUGGCACGCCUUGGUGAACAGCUUCGUAAGAGCGAUCUGCAAGUGUGGCUCCGUCUCCAGCAGCUGGAAUUGCGCCCACAAUAUUACAGUUUUAGGUGGCUGACACUACUUUUGUCUCAAGAAUUUCCUUUGCCAGAUGUCCUUAGGAUUUGGGACUCUCUAUUUGCUGAUGAGCAUCGCUUUGAUUUUCUUAUCUACAUUUGUUGCUCAAUGAUUAUAUUACUUCGUGAGGAACUAUUGACGGGUGAUUUUCCUUCAAAUGUGAAAUUACUCCAGAACUUUCCAUCAAUGGAUAUCCAAGUUGUACUGUCCAAGGCAGCAGAACUAGGUGGACUGAAAGCUUCAUGAAUUUUAUUUUGGACUGCAGAGUUGGAUAAAAACAGAAUGUCCCGAAGGCAGCACAGUGUGACAAAGUUCUCAGGGUCUUGAAGAGACUUAUAGGUGACCUGCUCUCCCUUGUGGGACCUAAAAAGGGGAGGCAAUAUUUCUUCCAUGAACUCUUCCAUGCUCGUGGUAACAUUCUCAUUUGCUAUUUUGGAGCAGUGGCAUUUAAGUGGACACUUCUCAUAUACAAAGCUGUAUAGCUUUAAAGUGCUGUGAAAAAAUUCUUUUCUCAUUUUUUGUACAGCAAUAAUAUAUUUUUCUACCAAACUUAAAGACAUUUUAAUGAAAAACUGGUGUUGUUAGAGAUGUUGUUUUUGGUACUGGUUUAAGUUUAUGGUUGACUGUUAUGGUUGAAUGUUACUUAAUUCUAUUGUUAAUGUUGUAAAAAGCUCAAUAUGCAGCCUCAGAUGUUAUUACAUAAAAUCCUAUGUAAAAUAUUUUGACAUGUUAUAUUUUGUGAAAUAUUGAAUUAUAUAACAUCACAGUAAGUUGCUGAGGUGUAGAGAUUUAUAUUGUGUGUUUUUGCACAAGGUGUAUCUAUAUCUUAUUGAUUACCAUGUUGAACAUCAUACUUGAACAGUUUGUAUUCUUUUUUCUUCAGUAAAUGAAUAUGUUGCGUCUUUGAAGAUUUAUGAAAGUUCUCGCUGCAUAAAUAUAUGUUUUGAACAUGGGACAGAACUCGCACAUAAGGGGGAGGGGGGGGGGGAGAGAGAGUGAGAGAGAGAGAGAGAGAGAGAGAGAGAGAGAGAGAGAGAGAAGGGGGGGGGGUCUUUUGUCCUGGCAAACACUUUAUAAUUCUUCCGUUUUGUAAAUAAUGGCAAGAAAUUACAGUCAAACUAAACUAAUGUUAAGCAUGUAUAAUUUGUGUUAUCUUUAAAGUAUGUGAAAAUUGAGCACAUUUCUUUUACAAGGUGCUGCCUAAAGAUACUGCAUUUUUUGUAUAUCAUAUUUGCUACAUAGUUCUGCUGAAAACUGUCCACAGUUUACACAGCUAUUUGACUACUGCCCUCCCCACACCUCAAAUAAAUAAAUAAACAAACAAAUGAAAUAUUGGAGCCUGGAAAAAUUGUGAAGAAGACUGAGGCUUUACUACAUUUUCAUGUUAAAAGCUGGUAUCUGGGCAAAUCACAUUAGAUUUCAGGUUGGGAUUCUGUCUGACUGUGUGUGUGUGUGUGUGUGUGUGUGUGUGUGUGUGUGUGUGUGUGUGUGUGUGUGUGUGUUUUUAAUAAGGAGUGGGGGGGAUUGAGUUUUGUUCAAAAGUAUCACUCCUUAAUUUGAUGCUUGUGAUAUUCAUUGUUGACCUCAUGAUUAUAAGUAAAAGUUUAUGACAAUCCUUUUUCACUAUUUCUCUACUUCCUUACAUUUAUGGAAGAAUGUGAACUCAGACUGAGCAUAGUUUUGGAAGAUUGUAUGAUUGAUUUAUUUAAGGUAGCGCAUAUCUAUGUUUGUGCAUGAUGUGUCCAAAGAAGGGACAUCUGCUAUAUUUCACUGCUGAAACUGCAGAUUAUAAUGAUGCUCAUUUGUUCCACUGGGUUCAUAUAUGUUUGCAUUAAGAGUUCCAUUUAGUGCAAAAGAUUGUACAAAGGUUAGAUUAGUGUCUGUAAGGAAGGAUGGAUCUUACCAUCAUGCAAUAUGGUUCAAAGUCUUUCAUUUCUAAUGUCUUAAACUGUUAGUUGUUAAAUACUUCAAGUUUCUGAAUGCUGAUGAAUUGCUGUUUGUCCAGCAAAUAAAUUCUUAUCUAAAUUUUUGACUUGUUGAGAAACUGAGUCAGUUUUGUACUUUGAUAAAUUGUAAAACUGCUGUUUUUCACUAUUCAUAUACUGUACAUCAAAGUUAUGACAAAAAACAGUUAAUGAUUUUUUUAGUGUGUUAUCAUAAGUAGAACACAGUUGAUGAAAUAUUCCUCUUUCUCUUCUGAGGUUUACAGGUUUAUUACGCCAAUAAAAAAAUAAUUUUACAUUGCAUUCAAGCCACAUUAUUAAACUGAGCAAAUGUUGUCAUUUUUUGUAAUGUUUUGUAUCCAGGAAGUUCAUUUUGAGUUAUUAAACAUUUUGUAAUAAAGUAUCUGAGAAAAGA